UGUGAUGUAGAUUUUAAUACCUUGUGAUCUUGAGUAACUGUUCAAGUGAUUAAUAUUUACAUCACCUC
rnacentral:pre_miRNA from 2 species